rnacentral:lncRNA from 1 species
CCACGCCCGGCUAAUUUUUUGUAUUUUUAGUAGAGGUGGGGUUUCACUGUGUUAGCCAGGAUGGUCUUGAUCUCCUGACCUCGUGAUCCGCCCACCUCGGCCUCCCAAAAUGCUAGGAUUACAGGCGUGAGCCACCGCGCCCAGCCAAGGGAUACCAGAAGGUUGAACAGACACCUUGUGUCCAAGUCAGAGCUAGAGGCCUGUCUGCCAAACAGAUGGAGGAGGGCGAGCCCUGUCCACUCCCAUCUCAGAGAACCGGCUCAGUCCCUGCCCUUAGAGCAGUGGAUCUCCAGCUAUAGCCAGCAUCAGAAUCACCAGCAGCGCUUGUUAAAUAAUACUAGUCCCCAUUCCCAGAGUUUCUGAAUCAGCAGGUCUGAGUUGGGGCCCAGGAAUCCACAUUUCUAACAAAUUCCUGGAGGACACUGAGGGUCAGGGACCACACUUUGAAAACCACUGCCCCACGCCAUGCUGAUGGGCAUGGGCAUAUUUUGGAGACCAGCGCCAAUAGCUGACUGGCUCACUGACCUAGGGUGGGCACCAGAGGCAAGGGCUACCCACCCGGAGGUGAGGGAUUCAUGGGGCCUGACACCAAAAGCCUGAUGCUGUCCCAGGCAUUUGAAACUGCAGUGGGAGUCUAAGCUGGAAGCCACGGAAAGUUGAGGCUGGGGCCAACUUUCCAAGUCGAGGAAUGGUGCGGGAAUUGGGCACCAUUCCCGCCAAAAUUAAGAGGGUAGGAGCAGAGGUCUGAAACUAGUAGCCCUCAGCUGUGUCCAGCUUGCAAACAUGUUUUCAAAAAUUUAAAUUACUUGUCAACAUUUGAACAUUGGGAAAGUUGACACAAAAAUACUGACUUUGGCCUGGCAUGGCGGCUCACGCCUGUAAUCCCAGCACUUUAGGAGGCUGAGGCGGGUGGAUCACCUGAGGUCAAAAGUUCUAGAUCAGCCUGGCCAAUAUGGUGAAACCCUGUCUCUAUUAAAAAUACAAAAAUUAGCCGAGCGCGGUGGCAGACACCUGUAAUCCUAGCUACUGGGAAGGCUGAGGCAGGUGAAUCACUUGAACCCGGGAGGCAAAGGUUGCAGUGAGCUGAGAUCGUGCCACUGCACUCCAGCCUGGGUAACAGUGCGAGUAUCCAUCUCAAAAAAAAAAAAAAAAAAAAAUACUGAUUUCCAGGCUGGGCGCAGCAGCUCACGCCUGCAAUCCCAGCACUUUGGGAGGCCAAGGUCGCCAGAUCACUUAAGGUCAGAAAUUAGAGACCAGCCUGGCCAACAGGGGGAAACCCCAUCUCUACUAAAAAUACGAAAAUUAGCCAGGUAUGGUGGUGCACACCUGUAGUCCCAGCUACUUGGGAGGCUGAGGCAGGAGAAUCACUUGAACCCAGGAGGCAGAGGUUGCAGUGAGCCAAGAUCGUGCCACAGCACUCCAGCCUGGGUGACAGAGUGAGACUCAAAAAAAAACAAAAACAAAAACAAAAACAAAACACUGACUUCCAGAUUAUCUUGAAAACAGAAUAUUUGAGUACAACGGGGCCUACAAUCCCUGGUGACAAUACCUGAUUAGAAUCAGGUUGUGGCUGCCCUCUCCCCAGUUCACCUGGUCCCCACUAGGCCCACUUCACCCACUGACUGGCUCCUGCAGGCAUGUGAGAGCGGAGUCUCAGGAGAAAACAGGACAGAGCAGCGAGGAGAUACUGUAAGGCUGCCUCGGAGAAAGCCUCCAGCUUUUACUGACCCUGCUGGGCCACUCUACCACCCCACGCUGGCCCUGCUUUCCAGCAUGGUUGAGCAAAUCAACCAAGAGCCCUGACCCCCGCCUCCUGUGGCAAAAUCUAUCACAGUUGGGAUUCUGGCUCUCAUCUGUGCAGACUCAGACCUGCUCCUAGAUGUCACUGCAGCCCACAGUGCCCUGUUACCAGGGGUGGACUGGUCGAUGACCUAUUUAUUUUUAACAGGUAGAUUAGCCACAAGUUGCUAGGAGAGAGAAGGAGGCUGGGCUGGCAGCAUGGGCAGGAUGGCAGGACUGACUGUGCCCACCUCUGGGCAAAGGUAAAGUGAAGGAGGAGGUUUGGAUUUGAGCCAGGCCAAGGCCUGAGGUGAGCACAUGCACCCCUACGUCUGCUCAGCUGAGGGGACAUUCUGAGAUGGCACCCAGGGUCUCCAAGUUGUGUUUCUGCUGCAGUCCAUGGGGGCCCAGCUCAGCCUGGCAACCCAGGCGAUGUGCCUCUUUGCCCAAGAUAGGCCUUCUAUCCCCGCUCUUCUUCUUCAUCUGUUGAGCUCCUCCUAUUCACCCAUCAAGAGCCCAGCUCAAAUGUCCCAGCUCAAGGAUGACUGACCUCCCUGCCCUACCCCUGCAUCCACAGCCCCUAAGCACAAUGGUUCCCUGGACAAGAUCCUUUCAGAGCACUCUGCACCCCUCCUUUAUAGCACUUCUCACACUGCAAUACAAGUCUGGCCACCAGAGCAUCUUCUCCAUUGGACUGUACACUCACUGAGGGCAGAGGCUCAUCAGGUUUAUCUCUGGGACUCCAGGCUCAACAAAGAACAGGUCUGCAGAGGGCUUUGUCAGGGAGGGUGAGAGCAGGAGGAGAGGUAGUGAGAGAGCUAGCCCUUAACAGAACUUACAGCCAAAUAGUCCGAAUUCAGAAACCAACUCUUCUGAAGUAUGCCUCAGCAUUUCAGACACCCCUGGUUCCUGCAGACACUAGCUCUCGGAGAAAGCAAGCCAUGUUUUAUACGUGUAUGUGUGUAGGGAUGGGAGAGAGAAGGAAAAGUAUAUAAUUUGGUGGAUAAGAGCUUGAGCACCAAAGUUUGGCUUUAAGUGAGUAUACUUACUAGUCUUGCCAUUUAUCAACUAGGUGACAUUGGGCAACUACCUCCUUUUCUCUGGGCCUCAGAUUUUCUAUAUAUAAAAUGGGAACUUUUCUUUGCCCUACCUCAUAGUAUCCUUGGGAGGUUUCAAUAGGACAAUCUAGCUCUUAGCAUGAGGUAGUAAGAAAACUAGGCUCAGGGAGGCUGCACAAACUGCCUACGGUAACAGCAAACUGGGCGGAAAACCAGCCCACCACACAGGUCUCCUGGCUUUUCAACCAAUAAUACUACUGUGUUUUCAAGAAAUGACUUGGUAAUUCCUGCAAGACCUGCAAGGGUACUCGUUUUGACUGCUGGAGCCUCCGUGGUAAUGGGGCACCUCCUGCCCAUAAAGCCAGGGCCCAGGAAGAACAGGAAACAAAGGUCUCCCUCCACCCCACCUGGGACCCCCAUUUGCAGUCGCUGCCCCGCUCCAGGAACCAGAGGACAGUCUCAGUUUCAUUACAGAGAAACCCUAGAGGCAACUCAGCUGAAACCCUUGGCCACACGGACGCCUGGACAGCUGGUCUGCAGGACCCAGCACCCUGGUAUUCGGACUUUAAAAAUAGACACCAUUCUCACAUGCUUGGGGUGGUUUUAAGUGUUCUCCAGGCCACUGGCAGAGACAGGCUGAAAGGGCUUCUCGGGCUGUAGCUGGCAGGGCCAACUCCCUCUCCCAGAGACUGGACCAGAGGCCUGAGAGACACUAGCGCAAAUCCCCUAGGCCACUAGCCAGCUCUGUGACCUUGGGCAAGUCACUGCACUCCUCCAAGCCUCCGGAAAACAGGAAGAACAAUCACUACCACCCAUGGGUGGACUGAGAUUACACGUGGGGUGCACAGUAGGGAGCCUGGGACCCAGCGAACAUUCACUAAGCACCUACCGUGUACUCAGCACAGGUGUUGGGGCACUAAGAGGAAGUGCAUAGUCCCAGUGGCCCAGGAGCUCAGGGUCUCCCAGGGCUGAAAAGUGAUCUAGCAGAAACAUGAGGGGAGGCAUGAUGGGAGCUGAAAGGAGGUACCUAAUCCUGCCUGGGGUCAAGAGUUAUAGGAGCUGUCAGAUGAAGGGAGGAGGUCAAGGGAGAGCAAAGAAUCCCCCUAGUGAAGGUCUAGAGAGGGGACAGGGCGUGGCAGAUUUUGGAUGUGCACAGAAUCAUAACAGUGUCCGUUUAUGAAGCACCGACCUAGUGCCUGCCAUGAACCUGAGCAUUUCACAUGUACUAUCUUAUUUAAUCCUUACCCCAACCCUCAGAGAUGGGUUCUGUUAUCCCCAUUUUAUAGAAACAGAAGCACAGGGAGACUCAUGGGGGUUAAGUUACUUGUCCAUGGUCACACGGCCAGUGAGUGACGGCAGCUGGGAUCUGAAGCCAAGACCUUGGAUCCCAGGCUCUAUUAAUGUGGGGGGGCUCUUGAGGGGUACUGAGGAAUGGGCUGCAGGAGAAGAGUAGGAGUCAGACCACCAGAGCAGGUCUGUCUCCUCACCUGUCAGGGGGCUGGAAUCAGAGGACCUCACUAAGAUCUUGGCCUCUGUAUUAGACUGGCCUGGAUUUGGACUAAGUCUCCCACUUCCUCGCUGUGACUGAACCUACGCCCUUCAUGUCUCUGAGACUCAGUUUCCCUAUCUGUAAAAUGGGGACAAAGUGAAAAAAUGUUCAUUGAGUCUCCAAGGUCUUCUUUCAGCUGGAGGGGCCAGAACUGGCCAUGAGACCACGGGCCAAUCCCUUUUCCUCCCUGGGCCUCAGUUUCCCCAGGGAAUGCAGGUGGAAACUCAUUGGACCAGAUGUUUCCACCGUUCUUUUCAGCUCUAUUCCUGUGGUUCUGUGAUGCUGUGAGAGGGGGAAAGAAGGAAAAAGGGAGUGGGGAAGGAGAGUGGCACACAAAACCUAGAAGGUCCCACCCCAACCAUCACCUACCUGUGACUGGAAAGCCAGACUCAGCCCAGCCCCCUCCUUUAGGCUGGGUCUGAACAAUCGCAGGAGGGGAGGGAGACGGGGAGGGAGGGGUCCGGGUGAUGUUGAGAAGGAGGCAUCACUGAGGGUGCCAGUGAGAAAGUCAGCUGGGGGUUGCGGUCCCGGGAAGGGUCCGGGUUCAAUGCGGAGGAGAGGCAUUCAAGAAACAGGAGCUAUCAACCAAAGCUGGUCAGGCCAACCAAAAGACCCCUCACCCACGAUGCUUGCCCGCCCCUGAGCCAGACAGGAUCUGGGGAAUGAACUGAGUCACACAAGGCCCCCUGCCUCGCAUCCCCAACCCUCAGGACGGCAGGACAACAUCUCACUCUGUCGCCCAGGCUAGAGUGCAGUGGCAUGAUCACCACUCACUGCAGCCUCCACCUCCCGGGCUCAAGCCAUCCUCCUGUCUCAGCCACCUGAGCAGCUGGGACUACAGGCACACACCACCACACCUGGCUAAUUGAAUCCACACUCUUGAAUUGGGUGAUGAUUACAGGAAGACACUGCAAGAAGGAUCAGCCUCCCAUCUUUCUGGGGGAAACCUGCAUUAGAACCUCAUAAAGCAGCCUGUACAGCUUGAGCUCACAUUCGUAACAAAAAGAGAUCAGCAUUUAAAGCAGUAGACUGAGUAAAGAAAUCUGCCCUCACCAGUGCAGAGCUCCUGGUACUGGAACUUACACUACUGACUUUCCUGGACCCCCAGCUUGCAGAUGGAGGAUUAUGGAACUUCUCAGCCUUCAUAACUGUGGAGCUAAUCCCUCACAAUAAAUCUCUUCCGGUACAUCUACAUAAAGUCUAUUGGUUCUGUUUCUGUUGGAACCUUGACUAAUACAGGGACACAGAAGAGG